AGAUCAAAGGAAAACAGAGGGAAGAGAGCAAAUGGUAAAAAACACAAAAAGUGUGCAAAUUUAUAACAGGUAAGUAUAACAGGUAAGCAUCUAAGGUAAGUAUAACAGGUAAGUAUAACAGGUAAGCAUCUAAGGUAAGUAUAACAGGUAAGUAUAACAGGUAAGUAUAACAGGUAAGCAUCUAAGGUAAGUAUAACAGGUAAGCAUCUAAGGUAAGUAUAACAGGUAAGUAUAACAGGUAAGUAUAACAGGUAAGCAUCUAUGGUAAGUAUAACAGGUAAGUAUAACAGGUAAGCAUCUAUGGUAAGUAUAACAGGUAAGUAUAACAGGUAAGUAUAACAGGUAAGCAUCUAUGGUAAGUAUAACAGGUAAGUAUAACAGGUAAGUAUAACAGGUAAGCAUCU